rnacentral:rRNA from 1 species
CUGGGCGUAAAGAGCUCGUACGUGGUUUGUCGCGUUGUUCGUGAAAUCUCACGGCUUAACUGUGAGCGUGCGGGCGAUACGGGCAGACUUGAGUACUGCAGGGGAGACUGGAAUUCCUGGUGUAGCGGUGGAAUGCGCAGAUAUCAGGAGGAACACCGGUGGCGAAGGCGGGUCUCUGGGCAGUAACUGACGCUGAGGAGCGAAAGCGUGGGGAGCGAACAGGAUUAGAUACCCUGGUAGUCCACGCCGUAAACGGUGGGUACUAGGUGUGGGUUUCCUUCCUUGGGAUCCGUGCCGUAGCUAACGCAUUAAGUACCCCGCCUGGGGAGUACGGCCGCAAGGCUAAAACUCAAAGAAAUUGAUGGGGGCCCGCACAAGCGGCGGAGCAUGUGGAUUAAUUCGAUGCAACGCGAAGAACCUUACCUGGGUUUGACAUGCACAGGACGCCGGCAGAGAUGUCGGUUCCCUUGUGGCCUGUGUGCAGGUGGUGCAUGGCUGUCGUCAGCUCGUGUCGUGAGAUGUUGGGUUAAGUCCCGCAACGAGCGCAACCCUUGUCUCAUGUUGCCAGCGGGUAAUGCCGGGGACUCGUGAGAGACUGCCGGGGUCAACUCGGAGGAAGGUGGGGAUGACGUCAAGUCAUCAUGCCCCUUAUGUCCAGGGCUUCACACAUGCUACAAUGGCCGGUACAAAGGGCUGCGAUGCCGCGAGGUUAAGCGAAUCCGUUUAAAGCCGGUCUCAGUUCGGAUCGGGGUCUGCAACUCGACCCCGUGAAGUCGGAGUCGC